rnacentral:miRNA from 1 species
CUGUACAGCCUCCUAUCUUUCC